GUGGUUGUGGCUCAGUGGUAGAGAGUGCUUGCCUAGCAUGCAUGAGGACCUGGGCUCAAUCCUCAGCACCACA
rnacentral:tRNA from 1 species